GGAAAUAAAAUAGGAAGAUUUAUUUGAGUGGACAAUACCACUAUGAAUGCCUCUAAAGGGAAGUUUGUGCGCAUGUGUAUGGAAGUUGAGCUUGCCAAACCCCUUUUCUCCAAGUUUCGCUCAAGGCGUCGAAUUAAGAGGAUUGAGGACGAGACUAUGCAUCAAGUAUGUCUUUCAUGUGGAUGUUAUGUACAUAGGUUGCCUGUCCCGUCACUAAUGAAGUUAGAAAAUGUGGUAAGGUAGGUGUUCUGAUUGACCAGGUCCAGCAAGGUGUGCAGGAAGGUCGUGUUGCCAACCUAGUAGUGGCUUGCAGUAGGGAAGGGACCAAGAAUGGCAAGAAGUCUACGGUGGUGCCGAAAAUGGUGCAAGCGGAGGUGGUUGACAGAUUUGGACCCUGGAUGCUUGCAAAGAAACCAGUGUGAAAGAAUUCCAAGAAUUCGGUGAACUUAAAUUCAAAUUUUAAGAAGGAUAGGCAAGAUAAAAAGGAAUUGAAUAAGGCAGGAGCGUCGGGUAUGGGUGUUGAUAAAGGUUCCGGGAAGAAUAAGGUAGAUUCUGUGGUUGUUGGAUCGAGGUUUGCAACUUUUUACAACUGGUCUAGGAGCUUGUUUGGGGGAGUGAUCCAGUGGAUGAGAAUGUAGUCACUAAGCCCGUAGUUGAUGUAGGCCUUACUGGUGUUUUCAAUUUAGGCCUACUUCUGCUCAUUUCUCCUAAUGGGAGAGUUGCUAAUGAUAGGCCCAAUCAAAGGGUCCCUUCAAUCCCAAAAUGGUUGGCCUUCUACAGUCAAUGUGAAUAGGGCUCGCCCUAAAUUACCUACAAUGACUGCAGACCCAAUAGGAGAUGUCUCUGCCGUCGAUCUUUCCUCCCUUCCAACUCGUGUUCUGGAUUCACAAGUCUCACUGUCAAUGCGCUCUAGGAAUGCAGCCGUGGUGGGAGCCCACACAAUUGUUGUUGUUAAGAAAUUGGGUGUGGGAAUGGUGGCGUGCUGCAAUGUAAAAGAUAAUGUUGCGCUUCAAGACCCAGGCGAAGGAUCAUGUCGUUUUAAUGGAGAUGAUGUUUUUACUGAUGACAUGAACAUUGACCCUCUAUUGCCAAUCAGUGGUGUUAGGGGGUGAGGGUAUGAAUGGCUCUAUUGGAAUAGCAAAGGAUUCGCCCAUUCUCCAUGAGAAUAUACAAGGAGCUGCAUGGAAGAGAAUUUUGCGAGCUCUAAAGGAUAUGUCAAUGCCAAAAGCCCCACAUUUUGGUUUAGUUAAAGCUAAAUUUCGAUGUCUUUGGGUUUUAAUGAAUGGGUUCGAGUGGAAGCUGUUAGUUUGAGUGGUGGUAUUUAGGUGUUCUAGAAGGAGGCUAUAGGUAUGGUUUCAGUGUUGAGAACUCAUUAGCAGUUUGUGUUGUGUCGGGUUGAGAGUGUGUUGGGUCGUGUUUGGUACUUUGCUACAGUGUAUGGUAGUCCUCGAGAGAAUCUUCGAUUGGUUUGUUUUCUUUUCUCCUUAUGUUGCUAUGGUUUAUAAGGGACCAUGGUUGUUAGCAAUAUUGCUACUCCUGAAGAAAUGACUAGCACAGGGUCGGAUGUUAUAACCAAACAUAGUAAGUUUCGUGACUGGAUAUUCCAAAUGAGUUUGAUUGAUUUAGGAUUCUUUGGUACUCAGUUUACAUGGUGGAGAGGGCGCAAUACUGCUACUUGCCAAGCAGCUCGACUUGAUCGUGUUUUGUGCAAUAGGGAGUGGUGGAUUAUGUUUCCUUCAGCUACUAUCUUUCAUUUGCAGAUAUUGUUCUCUAACCAUUGUCCGCUUUUAAUUAAAAUUGAUGAAGGGGCUAUGAGGAUAGGGCAGUGUCCUUUUCUUUUUCAGGCAUCUUGGUUCUCACAUCCUACUUUUCUCCAAUUUUUUAAGGAGAGUUUGCAACUGAAUGAACCUAUGGCAAGAACAUUAUAUCAGUUGCAAGCUUCAUUUAAUGUUUAGAAGAGGGAUGUUUAUGGAGAUUUAUUUUAGAAAAAGCAUAGGCUCGUGGCAAGAAUAAGUGGUAUUCAAAAGGCUUUGGAGAGAUUUCCUCAUCAGGGUUUGCUUAACUUGGAAAUAAAACUCUGCACCGAGUUGAAUUCUCUUCUUGACCAAGAAGAACUUAUGUGGAUGCAAAAAUCUAUAGAACAAUGGAUUAACGAAGGGGAGCGUAAUUCCACCCUUGUGCUGUUAUUAAGAGGAAGAAGAAACAGGUGUUGGUUUUGCAAAAUGGUGAUGGGCUUUGGAUUUCUAAUUCAGAAGUUCUUAUGGAUAUAACUUUGAAUUUUUAUCAUGAUUUACAUACUGAAGAUGGGAUUGGCAAUGUGUUAAAGGUGCCGGUGAAUUCUUUUCCAGCACUUACAGUAGAGGAUGUUCGGAUGCUUUCUUCUCCUUUUCAUGCUGUAGAGGUAAAGGCAGAGUUAAUGGAUAUGGACCUUAUAAGGCUGUAGGACCAGAUGGCUUAUCAAAGAUGUUGGAGCAUAGUUGGGGUGUUGGUGACUAAAUUUGUGUUAGAUUUUCUGCAUAGGGGAGACUUAACACAUGGGAUUUGUGAGAUUUUGGUUACCCUGAUUCCAAAGGUGAGUGCUCCUGAAUUAAUAAGCCAAUUUUGGCCAAUUAGUCUUUGUGAUGUGAGCUACAAACUGAUUUCUAAGGCAUUGGUCAAUCGCAUGAAGAAAGUUCUUCCCAGGUUGAUCUCGACCAAUCAAACGCGCUUUAUUCCAGGACAUCAAAUCCAUGAUAACGUUGUGGUGUUGCAAGAGAUCAUUCAUUCCAUGAAUAGCCCAAAAACAGGUUCAGGAUGGAUGCUCUUAAAGAUUGAUCUUGAUAAGACAUAUGAUUGUCUUCGCAGGGAUUUUAUUAGUGAUUCUCUUCAACAAGCUCAUUUUCCAUAAAAUUGGAUUGAUAUUAUCAUAAA